AUUUCUAUUAAUUGUUUUUAUUCUGUUGAAUUCUAUUGGUUCUAAUAAUGCACUUAUAUUGCUAUGUUUUGUUUUAGUUGAAGUUGAUUGUAUCAAUUUUGUUUUUAUUUUUGUAGGUACUUCGGAUAUAUUCGACACCAUUUGGUAACAGGAUAAAUUUUCUUGUUUCACAAGAAGACUAAAACUCUUGGAUUUAGUGAUGCUGAAGACUUUUACAAGAAUACAUACGUGUGUGAGCAAUACUAUUGCUGGAUUUUGACUAGGAAUUCCUUCCCAGUAUCUAUAUCUGUGCGUGUAUUUGUAUAGUGAUGCAAUAUAUUGAAGACAU
rnacentral:lncRNA from 1 species